AGCUCCAAUAGCGUAUAUUAAAGUUGUUGCAGUUAAAAAGCUCGUAGUUGAAUAUCUGGUUUAAUGCGACUGGCCCGCCUCACUAGAGGUGAGCGCCGGUGGGCGUUUGCCAUCCUUCCAGAAAACUUGUCUCCUUCAUUGGACGACUCGCGAUCUGGAUCUUUUACUUUGAAAAAAUUAGAGUGUUUAAAGCAGGCCUUUGCCGUGAAUACAUUAGCAUGGAAUAAUAAUCUAGGACUUCGGUUCUAUUUUGUUGGUUUCUAGAAUUGAAGUAAUGAUUGAUAGGGAUAGUUGGGGGUGCUCGUAUUCAGCGGCCAGAGGUGAAAUUCUUGGAUUCGCUGAAGACGAACUUAUGCGAAAGCAUUCACCAAGGAUGUCUUCUUUAAUCAAGAACGAAAGU
rnacentral:rRNA from 1 species